UACGUAGGGCGCAAGCGUUGUCCGGAAUUAUUGGGCGUAAAGAGCUCGUAGGCGGUUUGUCGCGUCUGCUGUGAAAACCUAAGGCUCAACCUUGGGCUUGCAGUGGGUACGGGCAGACUAGAGUGCGGUAGGGGUGACUGGAAUUCCUGGUGUAGCGGUGGAAUGCGCAGAUAUCAGGAGGAACACCGAUGGCGAAGGCAGGUCACUGGGCCGUAACUGACGC
rnacentral:rRNA from 1 species